CGAGAUCGCUAUUGGCGCCGUGACCUCUGUACGAGAGCGGUAGCGGCUAGUAAACGCUGAGGGUUGGUGAUGGCUCCUGGUGGUGUUAGUUAGACCUGCCUGUGGCAAUUCCCGCCAGACUUUGCCUCGUGUUGUGCUGGCUUGGAGAGCUUACGGUUCUGUUUGUGUGAUUACGGGGUACGCUUGGGGAGUAGACGAGGAUUGGGUUAGGUCUCCUUUACCUCUCCGCGCCCUUCUGAGCGAGGCCUGCGGGCGGGGAGGCUCGUGCCUGUUCGGUGGGAUUUUAAAAACCUGCUUCCAUUGAGCUGAACAAAGAAGUGAGGGAAACGCCUGUUCUGUCUUCCGUUAUCACGCACUCGGAGAACAAAACCUCCCCUUCACCACGGGUGGCUGAACUAGUGGAAGGCGCACACCAUGUGGAUCCAAGUUCGUACCAUAGACGGCACUGAGACCCAUACCAUUGAUGAUCUGAGCCGUCUCACCAAGAUUGAGUGUUUGCGGGAGAAGAUCCAGAAGACCUUCUGUGUGAGCCCUGACCGCCAGCGCCUCUUCUACCGGGGCAAGCAGAAUGUCAGAAGAUACAUUUGACACUAAGCGGUUGUGGAUUAUAAUCCUGUUGUGUGCUUUACGGUUGGCUAUGAUGCGCAGUCACUUACAGGCCUAUCUGAAUUUAGCCCAGAAAUGCGUGGAUCAGAUAAAAAAGGAAGCCAGCAGAAUAAGUACAACUGAUUUACAAAAAAUGGUGUCUCGGAUAUUCUAUUAUCUUUCUGUAAUUGCACUGCAGUAUGUCGCACCAUUUGUAAUGGUCCUUCAUGCAACU